UGGGGAAUAUUGGGCAAUGGGCGAAAGCCUGACCCAGCUAUGCCGCGUGAGUGAUGAAGGCCUUCGGGUCGUAAAGCUCUGUGGAGAGGGAAGAACAAGCAUGUGGCUAAUAUCCACGUGUUCUGACGGUACCUCUUUAGCAAGCACCGGCUAACUCCGUGCCAGCAGCCGCGGUAAUACGGAGGGUGCAAACGUUGCUCGGAAUCAUUGGGCGUAAAGCGCACGUAGGUGGCUCGUUAAGUCGGAUGUGAAAGCCCUAGGCUCAACCUAGGAAGUGCAUUCGAAACUGGCGAGCUUGAGUAUGGAAGAGGGUCGCGGAAUUCCCGGUGUAGAGGUGAAAUUCGUAGAUAUCGGGAGGAACACCAGUGGCGAAGGCGGCGACCUGGGCCAAUACUGACACUGAGGUGCGAAAGCGUGGGGAGCAAACAG
rnacentral:rRNA from 1 species